rnacentral:ncRNA from 1 species
UCACCUGCAACGGCUUCCUGGCGCAGGGGAAAAAGCAUCAUCGGAGCA